GAUGAACGCUGGCGGCGUGCCUAAUACAUGCAAGUCGAGCGAACGGACGAGAAGCUUGCUUCUCUGAUGUUAGCGGCGGACGGGUGAGUAACACGUGGAUAACCUACCUAUAAGACUGGGAUAACUUCGGGAAACCGGAGCUAAUACCGGAUAAUAUUUUGAACCGCAUGGUUCAAAAGUGAAAGACGGUCUUGCUGUCACUUAUAGAUGGAUCCGCGCUGCAUUAGCUAGUUGGUAAGGUAACGGCUUACCAAGGCAACGAUGCAUAGCCGACCUGAGAGGGUGAUCGGCCACACUGGAACUGAGUCACGGUCCAGACUCCUACGGGAGGCAGCAGUAGGGAAUCUUCCGCAAUGGGCGAAAGCCUGACGGAGCAACGCCGCGUGAGUGAUGAAGGUCUUCGGAUCGUAAAACUCUGUUAUUAGGGAAGAACAUAUGUGUAAGUAACUGUGCACAUCUUGACGGUACCUAAUCAGAAAGCCACGGCUAACUACGUG
rnacentral:rRNA from 1 species